rnacentral:tRNA from 1 species
GGGUGAUUAGCUCAGCUGGGAGAGCACCUCCCUUACAAGGAGGGGGUCGGCGGUUCGAUCCCGGGUUCGAAUCCUGCACGACCCACCA